ACGUACAGUCUAGUCUCAAAGAUACUAGAGGAGCGAGAUAGACCACUGGGGCAAAAUAGCUGUAGUUGGUCAUGGGUCAUGGGUCAUGGGUCAUUUUUUCGCUCCAUUUUGGGAAUCAAAUAUAUGAGGGUUUUUUGUUGUUGUAAAUCGGCUUCUGUCAUGGCGUCCACAUCUACAAGCGUAGCGUGCUGUUCUGCUAUAUAGUUCUCGAAUCGCCAAUGUAAGCGACCCGACCUGUCUUUCUUCAGGUUCCCCACUAAGGUCGAACGAUGUCGACAGUGGGUCCAUAAUACAAGAUCUCAUACACCGAACUAUGGAGUACUUGUCAAAGAACUGCCGUCUUUGUUCUGAACACUUCGAACUUGACCAGUUUUCCAACAAGCAGACCAAGAACAGGCUAAAUUGGAAUGCAGAUCCAAUGCUCUUUGACAUCCCUAACCCACCGAAAUGUCUGUCUUUCCAAUGCAGGAUACUCCAUAGGAAGAAUGAGAACCUCCCAUCUGCACCAAAGCUUUCAAAGCAGCAAAUUGUGAUUUGUUAGCCUCACAAAAUAAUGCAAAUGACGAUUUGUUUAUUAUUGUAUAUAUAUAUUGGACAUAUUGUCCUUUGGGGUAAGCAGGGGUGGGGGUAUCAUUGUUUGAAAUACGUUGAAUUUUACAUCACUUUCAUUGGUUAACGCAUAUGCGAAACACUACAACCCUGUAUAUCUCACACAUAAAACGAUGUAAAUUAUGUAAAUCUUACCAUGAAUGACAGAAAUAAAACAUGUUAUCCUUGUA